CAAUAGCGUAUAUUUAAGUUGUUGCAGUUAAAAAGCUCGUAGUUGGAUUUCGGGUGGGACGCAGCGGUCUCGCAUUGCGUUUGUACUGCUGCAGCCCUCCUUCUUGCCGGGGGCGGCCUCUCGGACUUCACUGUCUGGGGGUCAGAAUCGGCGAUGUUACUUUGAGUAAAUUAGAGUGUUCAAAGCAAGCUUACGCUCUGAAUAUAAUAGCAUGGGAUAACACGACAGGACUCGGGCCUAUCGUGUUGGUCUAUAGGACCAGAGUAAUGAUUAAGAGGGACAGUCGGGGGCAUUCGUAUUCCGUUGUCAGAGGUGAAAUUCUUGGAUUUACGGAAGACGAACAUCUGCGAAAGCAUUUGCCAAGGAUGUUUUCAUUGA
rnacentral:rRNA from 1 species